CUGAGGGGGCAGGUUAUGGUGUGUGGAUGUGCACAGCAAUGCUAAGGAGGGGAAGAAAAGAGGUGAAAUGCAAGCAUUGAGAUCCUGAGACUUUAGUUUAGAGAAAGAUUUGCAGAAGGAAUAGGUUACAUACAUAUUAUCUGUUCAGGCCAGGAUAUAAUCCCUAUUUCUGUUAGGAAGAUAUCCAUAGUAUAAAAAAUAUGCAUUUGUAUUAUGAUAUAAAAUAAUGUUACAUAAAUAGUAGUGCUACGAAUUUGCAAGUGUCAAGAAAGACAGAAUAAGGCUUCCAGAUUUGUAGUAAAAUGAAAUUAGAAACAUUGUCUCUACCCAGAGGAGCCAGCUUGAAGUAGAUAGCAAAACAGAAAUUCAUCCCACCUGAGGAUUUCUUCUCCCUAAAGACAGAGAAAAAUCAAGAGAAAGGAAUGUAUGCCUUCUUGGUAAAGACUGUCCAGGGUAACUGUUUUGAAGAAGGGCUAAGACCAAAUACAUAAAGGGAAGAGUAGACUGCUACCAGGAG
rnacentral:lncRNA from 1 species